ensembl:lncRNA
UUUUUUUUUUUCUUUUUUUUCUUUUUAGGGCCAUAGAUGUACGUAUAGAAGUUUCCAGGCUAGGGGUUGGGCUAGAGGUCGAAUAGGAACUGCAGCUGCCGGCCUACACCACAGCUACAGCAGCGCCAGAUCUGAGCCACAACUGUGAUGGGAACUAUACCGCAGCUUGCGGCAACGCCAGAUCCUUAACCCAUUGAGUGAAGCCAGGGAUUGAACCCACAUCUUCAUGAAUACUAGUCAGGUUCGUUUCCACUGCACCACAAUGGGAACUCCUUUUUCCCUUAAUUUUAGAAGUCAAAUUCGUCUACCAGAAACUUCCAUGAGUCUUUUGGAGUAAACUUAAACCAGCAGCUCCUCGUACCUUCAGUUUCCCCCAACUCCUGCCAUCUUCAUCAUGUAUCUUCUCCCUGCAUCUUCAUUUUUUCUAGUAUGUGCUCAAUUAUGAUUUGUAAAACUUUCUCCCUAGGUUCCUUCCUGAGCAGCACUUCUGGUACCUUACAUUGUAUAACCGUCGGUAUCACUGUUGAAGUACAGCAUCUGACACAGGACACAAUACUCCAUCUGUGGUCUAUUUGCAAUGUGAUACUAAAUUUCAAUGAAUACGGACGAAGUUUGUUAGCGUUUUCAUGGGGAUCCCAGCACACUAAAGACAGAUUUUUCUGAGCACCAUUCUACAACGCUGAAGAACACUCAAGAAACUCUCAAAGACAAAGCCAACAACACUUAAGAUUCAUCCAAUUAAAAGAGAACACUAGUAACAUGCAGUCAAAUGUGGCUAAAUUGGAUCUCAAGUCCCAACACUAAGGGCUUCAGGAAAUCACAAGCUACUCAACUCUGAGUCACUUUUGUUCAAUUAGUUACAGAGCCGAGUCCUAUUUAGGCGGGACUUUUGCCAGCAUCUCUGCUGAGAAGUGCACAGGUCUUCAUCUGAUGUCAAUUCCAUGAACACGCCAGCUAGUGAAACCAGGUCAGAAGAGUAACAGAACCACAAAUUCCAGACUGGGUCAUAUGCUAAGAAAUUUCAUUUAUUCCUUUUCACAAACGUACUUUUAUUUCAGUGGGUUCCCAAAGCACCUGUUGGACCCUCUCAUCCCACAUGAGGGAGAGUCAGCUCAUGUCCCUCUAUGUUCUCAAUAUCAAGAGUAGUUGGAAAAUUUUCAACCAACACUGAAUAACACUGAUCUCCUGCACUGUUAGUGCAGAAGCAAUGUGUUAAAAGAAGAAAAAUAUGUUUUUUGGAUGUCAUAGCUAAUAAACAUGGACUAUUUAUGUGUUUGUGAGAGAGAAAAGAGUCAGCUAGAUUGUAAACAAUAAAAGAGUCAGCUAGAUUGUAAACAGCAUAAGAAUAUUUCUGUCUUUACCAUCAUCUUGCAAUGCAUGGUGGAUAAUACUGCAUUCAGUUUCACAAAUAAUUAAUCAAACCAAUAGGAUGAGACCUCCAAAUCGUUGACACUGACUUAAACCAUCAGACUUGAGUGUUUCCUGGUAGGGUCUUUAGAUCCACUUUAGUGAAAUGAUCAUUAAAUUUUUGCUACCAUUGUUUAUUAGCAAUGCCCAUAACCAAUGUCCUAGACAAAGUCAGAUUUCCUAGUUUGUAUUUCUUCAUAAUUUAAUUGCCUGAAUGGAGCUCCUCUACACAUAAUUUUAAUCUCUGUCUUGGGAGAGAUAAUAUGAUUUUUAAAAAAAAGUUAAAAUACUGUAAUACUGGUCCAUCUGGUCCAGACACAAACUUUCCAGGCUAAGAUAGUGGGCAUUAUAAUAUAAGUAGGUUUAGGAGGAGGUCAGAUAUUUCCCAAGCCACUGUAGCGACCAUGCUUGUUCCUUAAUCUACUGGGCCACAACAGAACUUGCCAUAUAUUUCUUAACAGUAUCCUGCCAGCGUCAUUAUUUUGUAAGAAGCAAGGUCAAGAGUUAUGUUAAUAGCACAAACGUGUUAACCUCAUCAUAAGAGAUGUAUAUUAUCUUAGAAAAACAGAAUAUUUACCUAGAUGAAGAGUGCUUGCUCUUAGGUGGUUUGUGAUAUAAUCAGGUGUGGUUAACAGAGCGAGUAAUCUCAAAGCAGGUAAUUCACAGUCCUGCUCACUCAUAGAAUGAGAAACACAUACUUUUCCAUUUGAGGGAUAUCACAUCUGGGGCGAAGAGAUCCCUUUGUAUACAGGCAAAGGUGGUAGCUAAGAUAAAAGGAGUGGAACACUGUUCUCAUGGGCAGAUCCCUACACACACACACUCACACACUCACACACACUCACACGCACACUCACUCACUCACACACACACUCACUCACAUGCCGCCACAUAGGAAAGGAAGGAGCAUCACAGGGGAGGAAACGGGGUGGGCAGGGAGAUCCAGUUAUACCAGAACUACCAUAGCACUUACCACGUGGUGUAAUUGUAAUUAUUAGUCGAUUAUCCGGCUACUUGUGUCCCCACACUGGGAUCCUCUACCCUUCUCUCUCUGCAUCACCUGUCCCUAGCCUGCUACCUGGCAUGUAGUAAUUACUCUAUUUCAAUGAAUGAAUGUUAAAUACCUUAAUGAAAAGCUUCCUUCUUAGUAAAUAUAAAGCCCAUAGCUUUCUAGGUUGGAACCAAAAUAAGAAUCCUUCAGUGGGGAUCAGUGGCUGGUGAAUCAAACUACAUGGGUCCCUGAGAUUCACCUUUGUCCUUUGAAGUCUGUCACUGAUGGUCCCUGACCGCUCCACGUUGACCCCCUGCACACUCUUGUCCAAGUGGAGACACCAGACCUCUUUCUUCAUAUCUCUUAUUCCAGAAGACUCACAACUACAACACUCAAAUGUGAUUUUAUUAUAGUCUCAGGGAUAAUAAAAGGGAAAUAGAAAACCAGGAGCCUCAAUGGUCUGGUUGGAGGAAUUUUUUUCUGAAAUUUUGAAUGGUGUAGAAAAAAAUUACAAUAAAAUUUUUAUCUAAUCUUAGGUAAGUUAUCAUCUGUCUCUCUUUUGUUGUUGUCUUUUUUUUUUUUUCCCCUUUUCUAGGGCCACACCCGUGGCAUAUGGAGGUUCCCAGGCUAGGGAUCUAAUCAGAGCUACAGCUGCUGACCUACACCACAGCUUCAGCAACGCAGGAUCCAAGCCACGUCUGCGACCUACACCACAGCUCACGGCAACGCCCGAUCCUUAACCCACUGAGCGAGGCCAGGGAUCGAACUCACAACCUCAUGGUUCCUAGCUGGAUUCAUUAACCACCAAGCCACAAUGGGAACUCCAUCACUUGUUUCUUAAUAAAGAAUUAAAACAGGUUGGUAAUGUGCUAGAACCAUGGGAUAGCCUAGGAUCUUGAAGAUCAUGUGGUCCAAUUCCUUGCAUAUUCAGGGAAUCCAAAAACAUGGAAAGAAUUGUUCAAAGUAACAGAAAACCAGUGGAAGAGGUAGAACUGAGGUUCAGACCUCUUCAUGUCCAGUCCAGGUCCUUUGUCACCCACACAAUGUUUACUACAAACUGUCUGACUCUUAAGGUCCCCGUAGGCCCUCUUGAAGAAACAUCAAAAAGUUUAUAAGUCAAAUUAAUGCUACUUGUGGCAUUUUAUCAAAAUGUAGUAUAUCAGUGUUCCCACCAUGGUGCAGUGGGUUAAGAAUAUGACUGUAGCAGGUCAGUUUGCUGAGGAGGUCCAGUUUUGAUCCCUGGUCUGGCAUAGUGGGUUAAAGGAUCCAGUGUUGCCACAGCUGUAGUGUAAGUUGCAGCUGUGGCUUGGGUUCAGUUCCUGGCCUGGGAACAUCCAUAUACUGUGGCUGUGGCCAUAAAAUGAAAAAAAUUAAAUACAAUACAAUAGAGUAAACUAAAAUACACUUGAUCCUUUAAACUGUGUAUCAGUUUGCAGCUGGAGACAUAACCAAUGCAUUAGAGAAAUCUUGAUAGUUUCUGUUAACUGAUAGUGGAUUUGUAAAGUAGAAGACAGGAGGAGAUAGUAUAGUUGCUUAUUGGAGCAAGAUAGAUUUGGGAGAUAAGUGUCUCGCUUCUGAUUUUGUUAGUUGGCGUUUUGUGGCUAAUCAUACACUCAGGAGAUGGGCACAUGGAGUUCCUGCUGUGGCACAAUGGCAUCUGUGGCACCUUGGCAGCCCUGGGAUGCAGGAUGGAGCCCUGGCCCAGCACAGUGGGUUAAGGAUCCUGAGUUGCCACAACUGCAGCUCAGAUCUAUGCCCUGGCCUGGGAACUCCACAUGCCUUGAGGCAGCCAAAAAAAAAAAAAGGCACACACACACACACACAAAGGAAAAGGUCGCAUAAUAAAUGGAUGAACUGAAUUGCUCUGGGCCAGGCUUUGAUGAAAAAGCCUUCAAGGCAAGAUUAAGAGGAUGACACAAAAAGAAUGUUGAGUAAUUUUCCUGGGAGCAGCAGGUAGAUUGAGCAGAAAAAGAGAUAAGAAGAGUGAAGAAGUUGAUUUACUUAGAAUGCCAGCCUGGAAGAUUUGCAAGUCUUUCAGGGAGCCAGCUGUCCUCUAUGAGUUCAUCCACCUGGAAUAACACAACAUGCCUUCUGACAAGGGUGGACUCCACGUGCACUGCCCUCAGGAAGAGCUGUUUUGCUAAGUUCUUGGAUAAACAGUUGCUAAUGAGCAGGUUCAAUCAUUACACUAGAAGGGAGAAAUGAAAAUAAUGAUGUGGGCAGAAAGCCUCUGCCAAAGCAGUCUUUGGGCUAAACUACAAAAAGUGGAUUAGAUUGCAAGGCAUGAUGGAACCCUCAUAGAAAAGAUGGCAGCAUGGCCAUUAGAAUGGAAUGACGGAAAACUAAGUUGUCUACAGAGCCUGGAGAAGGCUAUAGUGGGCAAUUUUAAAAGACUGAGAAAGCUCAGAUGUGAUUCCCAUUGGCAUGGGAAUCAAAUGGUUCUCCUCAGUGGGCUGGGCCUGGUCCUCUGAGCGAUUUCACCCAUCUCUGUCCUGCCAAUUGCAGGGUCUUCUUCCUGGAUAACAGUGCCAUUUUGGGAGGCAGGCACAUGACUCACAUAGUGAGGAUGCUGCAUUAGAAUCAGGAAUCAACACAGAAUGUUUGAUGGUCUAUAUUGGACCUGUUCUGCAGUCAUUCCUGGACCCUGGUUACCUCCUAUCUCUAGGGAGUUAUCUAGACACAAGACUUGGGUCUUUAACAUGUUAAAUGAAAUCAAGACUCUCUGUCCCUGGCCUUGGAAACUCCAAAGCUCCUUUGGGGGGCUUAGAUUUUAAAAGAAGUUUCUGGAAAGCAAAGACAGUCUAUCAAAGCCCAAUGGCACUUGUCCCAGUUUUGUCAUCCACAGUUAGGCAGCUGGUAGAGGGGUCACAGAGAAGACGCACAUGUGGUGGGCCCUACACUUCUGACAACGUCACUCACAUGUCAGAUGCACUUCAUUCAGGCAUGCAGAGACCCUUUUUCUUUGGUACUAGGAACAAACCAGUUUCUUGAUAACAGAUAUGAAGUCUGCCCACUAGGCUAUUGAUAGAGAAAGGGAAAGGGCAUAAAUGCCUGUAGGUUCUGGAGGGAACACAGUGUGUGAGCCUGUGUGUGUGGACAGAGCCAGGUAAAGAUAACAGAUGAAUGCUGAAAGAAGCUUCUUUGCUCAGUAUGCUUAUCUCAUAGGGAUGGGAGUAUUAAAUACAAGUAUGCCGAUGAAGUAAUUACACAGUGUCUUGUAGACAGUGAACAUUCAGGUCAUGGUGGCUGCUACUCUAAGCAAUAACCAUAAAGAGUGCUUGUGUUGGUCAGAAGAGAUCUGAUAGCAAGUGACAGAACCUCAGUGUAAACCAUCUUAAACAAAAGGGAAGGUUUUUUUUGUUUUGUUUUGUUCUUUAAUGUAUGUGUCAGAAAGAGAGAAAUCACCAUUAGAUAUCUGAGGGAAUAAUAUUUAGGAAAUAGUUUCACAAAUGUUGGAAGGCUGAAAGGGCAAAAAGGGAACAGAGAUGGUAACUGCAGGAAGAAGCUGUCUCCCCCAGGCCAGGGGACUAAAACAAAAGGGGGACAUUUCCAGAACCCUGGAUCUCCGAGCAGCGGCUGUGGAGUUGAUGCUCAGACUUUGAGGAAGGGGCAACUCCCAUCCCAGCCCUCUGAGAGGCCAUGAUAAAUCAGCUACUGGGAGUGAGUGCCACGGAAGCUGAGAGCUACAGUUAACUGUCACUAAUGGGAAGACACUGAUAAUAACAACCAGAGACCAGGAAAGAAGGCCCUGCUCCUCCGAGGCUUUCUUAUCUCUCGCUAGUGCCUCCCAGGAGCUAUCAAGGAGCCAGCUGGCAUAGGGGUCUGGGAAAGGCAGUUUAUAGACUACAGACAGGUGGGUUGGAACUAAGAGACAACGAGUAACUAAUUGGCAAAUUGGCUCAUGGAAUGCAAAGAAGGUUCAACCCAGAAACCACUGGAAGCAGGACUUGGAUGUUGCCAGCAUUUUAUUCCUCUCCUCUCCUCCUUUUCACCCUUUUCACUGAUCACCAGCUUAGGCACUACUAUUCUCUGCAGAAGCACAUGGCAGCUUACUUACAUCUCCCCAAACUAACUCCCAACAAUUCUGGCCACCAGAGAGAGCCUGGUGCAGUUUUUGUUUGUUUUUUCGUUUGUUUUGUUUUGUUUUUUGUUUUCCUCAAUUCUAUUUUUUAAAAAAAAUCUUAAGACUCU